UACAGAGGAGCCAAGCGUUGUCCGGAUUGACUGGGCGUAAAGCGCACGCAGGCGGAUGCGCGCGUGGGGUGUGAAAUCUGGCCGCUUAACGGCCAGGCGCCAUCCCAUACGGCGCGUCUGGAGUGAUGCAGAGGUCGGUGGAAUUGCCGGUGUAGUGGUGAAAUGCGCAGAUAUCAGGAGGAACACCGAUGGCGAAGGCAGCCCCCUGGGCCAAUACUGACGCUCAGGCACGAAAGCGUGGGGAGCAAACAGGG
rnacentral:rRNA from 1 species